rnacentral:rRNA from 1 species
CAGCCGCCACGGGAAUACGUAGGGUGCGAGCGUUAAUCGGAAUUACUGGGCGUAAAGCGUGCGCAGGCGGUUGUGUAAGACAGGUGUGAAAUCCCCGGGCUUAACCUGGGAACUGCGCUUGUGACUGCACAGCUAGAGUAUGGCAGAGGGGGGUGGAAUUCCACGUGUAGCAGUGAAAUGCGUAGAGAUGUGGAGGAACACCGAUGGCGAAGGCAGCCCCCUGGGCCAAUACUGACGCUCAUGCACGAAAGCGUGGGGAGCAAACAGGAUUAGAUACCCGCGUAGUCCCUGUCUCUUAUAC